rnacentral:rRNA from 1 species
AUUGAACGCUAGCGGGAUGCUUUACACAUGCAAGUCGAACGGAGUGGCGGACGGGUGAGUAAUAUCUGGGAAACUGCCUAGUAGCGGGGGAUAACUACUAGAAAAAGUGGCUAAUACCGCAUACUAUUAGAUGGGCCGAUAUUGGAUUAGCUAGUUGGUGGGGUAAAGGCUCACCAAGGCAACGAUCCCUAGAUGGUAUGAGAGGCCGACCAGCCACACUGUAACUGAGAUACGGUCCAGACUCCUACGGGAGGCAGCAGUGGGGAAUUUUGGACAAUGGGUGCAACCCUGAUGCAGCCAUCCCGCGUGUAUGAUGAAGGCCUUCGGGUUGUAAAGGACUUUUGGCAGAGAAGCGUUACCUGCAGAAUAAGCACCGGCUAACUACGUGCCAGCAGCCGCGGUAAUAC